rnacentral:rRNA from 1 species
UACGAAGGGGGCUAGCGUUGUUCGGAAUUACUGGGCGUAAAGCGCGCGCAGGCGGCUAUCCAAGUCAGUGGUGAAAGCCCGGAGCUCAACUCCGGAACUGCCAUUGAAACUGUUUAGCUUGAGGAUGAGAGAGGUGAGUGGAAUUCCCAGUGUAGAGGUGAAAUUCGUAGAUAUCGAGAGGAACACCGGUGGCGAAGGCGGCCUUCUGGACAGUGACUGACGCUGAGACGCGAAAGCGUGGGGAGCAAACAGG